GUCGUCAGCUCGUGUUGUGAAAUGUUGGGUUAAGUCCCGCAACGAGCGCAACCCUUAUCCUUUGUUGCCAGCGGUCCGGCCGGGAACUCAAAGGAGACUGCCAGUGAUAAACUGGAGGAAGGUGGGGAUGACGUCAAGUCAUCAUGGCCCUUACGAGUAGGGCUACACACGUGCUACAAUGGCAUAUACAAAGAGAAGCGACCUCGCGAGAGCAAGCGGACCUCAUAAAGUAUGUCGUAGUCCGGAUUGGAGUCUGCAACUCGACUCCAUGAAGUCGGAAUCGCUAGUAAUCGUGGAUCAGAAUGCCACGGUGAAUACGUUCCCGGGCCUUGUACACACCGCCCGUCACACCAUGGGAGUGGGUUGCAAAAGAAGUAGGUAGCUUAACCUUCGGGAGGGCGCUUACCACUUUGUGAUUCAUGACUGGGGUGAAGUCGUAACAAGGUAACCGUAGGGGAACCUGCGGUUGGAUCACCUCCUUA
rnacentral:rRNA from 2 species